UACGGGGGGGGCAAGCGUUGUUCGGAAUUACUGGGCGUAAAGGGCUCGUAGGCGGCCAAGUAAGUCAGACGUGAAAUCCCCAGGCUUAACCUGGGAACUGCGUCUGAUACUGGAUGGCUUGAAUUCGGGAGAGGGAUGCAGAAUUCCAGGUGUAGCGGUGAAAUGCGUAGAUAUCUGGAGGAAUACCGGUGGCGAAGGCGGCAUCCUGGACCGAGAUUGACGCUGAUGAGCGAAAGCUAGGGGAGCAAACGGG
rnacentral:rRNA from 1 species